AUUGAACGCUGGCGGCAUGCCUUACACAUGCAAGUCGAACGGCAGCACGGGAGCAAUCCUGGUGGCGAGUGGCGAACGGGUGAGUAAAGUAUCGGAACGUGCCCAGUCGUGGGGGAUAACGUAGCGAAAGUUACGCUAAUACCGCAUACGAUCUAUGGAUGAAAGCGGGGGAUCGCAAGACCUCGCGCGAUUGGAGCGGCCGAUAUCAGAUUAGGUAGUUGGUGGGGUAAAGGCUCACCAAGCCGACGAUCUGUAGCUGGUCUGAGAGGACGACCAGCCACACUGGGACUGAGACACGGCCCAGACUCCUACGGGAGGCAGCAGUGGGGAAUUUUGGACAAUGGGCGAAAGCCUGAUCCAGCAAUGCCGCGUGCAGGAAGAAGGCAUUCGGGUUGUAAACUGCUUUUGUACGGAACGAAACGGUCCUGGUUAAUACCCGGGGCUAAUGACGGUACCGUAAGAAUAAGCACCGGCUAACUACGUGCCAGCCGCCGCCGUAA
rnacentral:rRNA from 1 species